CUAGCUGGGCACUCCACCAAACCACUGUUGAUGUCAUCUAUAAUGUCAUGAGGGUGGCGGCCAUCCACAUUGCAGCCCACAGACUGUGCAGUACUCAGGAUCUUCUUGAUAGUUCCAGAAAGUUCUCUAGCCAAAGACCGGUGUCUCAUCUGCCAUAGGAAAUCUUUUGAGGUUACACCUGGUUCCAAGAUUUAAGUCCCCAGGUGACAGAGGACACCGUCAAGAACCCCCAUACAAUGUUUACUAGCCUCCAAAAUCUUACGCAGCUUCAAGAGGUUCGCAGACGCCCUUAAACUCAACCAGAAGUCCAGAACGGAGGGUUCCCAAGAACAAUAACAAUAGUCACUAAUCAAGCCGGG
rnacentral:lncRNA from 1 species